rnacentral:lncRNA from 1 species
UUGAGACGAAUAUAUUUGAUUAGUGUUAAUUCAUAGGUAUAACAGUACAAAAUAUUAUAAAAUGAAAAUUUCUUUAACAUAGACUUGAUUUGUAGGAGUAAAAUGCUAUGACAACAUAAUUUAGUAUCUUUUCUUUGAAUCUCUUGAGACCUUACUUGAAGAGAUAACAGAUAAACCAAUUUCAGUAGUAAUUUAAUCUAAAGAUGUCUUUAAUGUAUGCAUCAUCUCCU